rnacentral:rRNA from 2 species
ACGGGUGAGUAACGCGUGGGAAUCUACCUAGUUCUACGGAACAACAGAGGGAAACUUCUGCUAAUACCGUAUACGCCCUACGGGGGAAAGAUUUAUCGGAAUUAGAUGAGCCCGCGUAAGAUUAGCUAGUUGGUGGGGUAAUGGCCUACCAAGGCGACGAUCUUUAGCUGGUCUGAGAGGAUGAUCAGCCACACUGGGACUGAGACACGGCCCAGACUCCUACGGGAGGCAGCAGUGGGGAAUAUUGGACAAUGGGCGCAAGCCUGAUCCAGCCAUGCCGCGUGAGUGAUGAAGGCCUUAGGGUUGUAAAGCUCUUUCAGUGGGGAAGAUAAUGACGGUACCCACAGAAGAAGCCCCGGCUAACUUCGUGCCAGCAGCCGCGGUAAUACGAAGGGGGCUAGCGUUGUUCGGAUUUACUGGGCGUAAAGCGCACGUAGGCGGAUUGGUCAGUUAGAGGUGAAAUCCCGAAGCUCAACUUCGGAACUGCCUUUAAUACUGCCAAUCUAGAGUCCGGAAGAGGUGAGUGGGAACUCCUAGUGUAGAGGUGGAAUUCGUAGA